rnacentral:rRNA from 1 species
GCAAGUCGAACGGCAGCAUGAUCUGCUUGCAGAUUGAUGGCGAGUGGCGAACGGGUGAGUAACGCGUAGGAAUCUACCUUGAAGAGGGGGAUAACCCGGGGAAACUCGGGCUAAUACCGCAUAAUUUCUUUGGAACAAAGCUGGGGACCUUUUCGGAGGCCUGGCACUUUGAGAUGAGCCUGCGUCCGAUUAGCUUGUUGGUGGGGUAAAGGCCUACCAAGGCGACGAUCGGUAGCUGGUCUGAGAGGAUGGAC